UCUUCCUUUCUCUCUCAGCUCUCCGUCUCUCUCAGCCUCUGUCUUUCUCCCUGUCUCCCCCACUGUCAGCACCUCUUCUGUGUGGUGAGUGGACCACUUACCCCACUAGGUGAAGAUGUCAGCCCAGGAGAGCUGCCUCAGCCUCAUCAAGUCCUGGGCAGCCUGAUCUUCUGCUUCGGCAUCUGGAUCCUCAUCGACAAGACCAGCUUCGUGUCCUUUGUAGGUGAGGGGGGCUGGGGCAGGUGGGAGGGCCUCCCCCAACUCAAGCAACUUCCUGGGGUCUCCCUUGUCUCAGGGAGACCCAUGGUGCCCUACUCUGCAGGCAGGCCACAGGCUCCCAUCCACUGCUCACCGGAGGCUUCUGGGAGCCUGAGUCUUCUUCCGGCAAAUGGGGUUGUGCAUACAAACAACAAUGAUCAUGAGAGCCAUUUCUCAAGCACUUCCUAUCUGUCGGGCCUUGUGGCUGGUCAGAUGCCCCCACAAACCUUCCCCUCUCUUGAGGUUCAGAGAGGGGAAGUCCCUUGAUGGAUGUCAUAUAGCAAGGAAGUAAAAGAGCCAAAAUAACAUUAAUAAUAGGAAAAUAAUAAUGAAGUAUGACCCUAAAUAAUAAUGAAAUAUGACCCUAAACGCUCAUAUUUAAGAAGUCUUUGCCCUGGGUUGAACACAUGUCCCCAUGUGUCCCUCAAAAUGACCCUAGGGGCCGGGCACAGUGGCUCACACCUGUAAUUCCAGCACUUUGGGAAGCCGAGGCAGGUGGAUCACUUGAGGUCAGGAGUUCCAGAAUAGCCCGGCCAACAUGGUGAAACCCUGUGUCUACUCAAAAAUACAAAACGUUAGCCAGGCAUGGUGGCGCAUGCCUGUAGUUCCAGCUACUAGGGAGGCUGAGGCAAGAGAAUCACUAGAACCCGGGAGGCAGAGUUGCAGUGAGCCGAGAUCACAUCACUGCACUCCAGCCUGGGGGACAGAGCGAGACUCCGUCCCCAAAAAAAAAAAAAAAAAAAAACCAACCGGAAGAAAUAGAUACCAUCUCCUAGGCCUCAGGGAGGUUUAAGGAGCCAAGCCAAUGUCACAGAACAAGUGAUAGGGCUGAAACUACUGGGGAUGAGGAGGAGCUGAAGGAGGAAGAAGAGGGUGAGAGGAAGAGAGACAGAGACCCAGGGAUGGGAAACAGAGGCCCAGAAAGAAGAGAAAGUUUCAGAAGGAAACAGGGACUCAGGGUGGGGCAGGGACAGAGUACCAGAGAGACGGGCACCAGGAUACUGCUCCCCACUUGGGCGGCUGCCUAGGUGGGAAAUGGGGCUGCCUGGAGCUGUGCCACCCAGCUCAUCAUCGCUCCCCUCACCUCUCCCAGGCUUGGCCUUCGUGCCUCUGCAGAUCUGGUCCAAAGUCCUGGCCAUCUCGGGAAUCUUCACCAUCGGCAUCGCCCUCCUGGGUUGUGUGGGGGCCCUCAAGGAGCUCCGCUGCCUCCUGGGCCUGUAUUUUGGGAUGCUGCUGCUCCUGUUUGCCACACAGAUCACCCUGGGAAUCCUCAUCUCCACUCAGCGGGCCCAGCUGGAGCGAAGCUUGCAGGACGUCGUAGAGAAAACCAUCCAAAAGUACGGCACCAACCCCGAGGAGACCGCGGCCGAGGAGAGCUGGGACUACGUGCAGUUCCAGCUGCGCUGCUGCGGCUGGCACUCCCCGCAGGACUGGUUCCAGGUCCUCAUCCUGAGAGGUAACGGGUCGGAGGCGCACCGCGUGCCCUGCUCCUGCUACAACUUGUCGGCGACCAACGACUCCACAAUCCUAGAUAAGGUGAUCUUGCCCCAGCUCAGCAGGCUUGGACAGCUGGCGCGGUCCAGACACAGUACAGACAUCUGCGCGGUCCCUGCAAAGAGCCACAUCUACCGCGAGGGCUGCGCGCAGAGCCUCCAGAAGUGGCUGCACAACAACCUUAUUUCCAUAGUGGGCAUUUGCCUGGGCGUCGGCCUACUCGAGGUGAUCUGGCCCCGCCCCCACCUGCGAUCGGCCCUAAAUCCCUAGAUGGCCCUGCCCUUCAUUUCGCGUCCUUCGGUUGCCUGGGAAGGACGCGCUCAGGGCGGAGCGCAGCCCACCCCAGCCCUCCCGUCGCUCCACCCAGCACCGGGGGGUGGGGGCGGCCUAGCUUCAGGGAGCCCUGAUUGGGUGUACGCAGGGAAAACCUCCUGCUAUUGGCUGCGAUCUUCCUCCCCUUUCCCCGCAGAUGACUGUCAUGGUGCUGAGCGUGCAGCUACAGCGCAGGGCACUCCGCCGGAAAUGCGAGCCGCACGUGCCGGAGGCUGGGGGGUCGAGCCCCGGGCCCAGCUUGAUCGCUGACGGCGGCGGCGGGCGCAGCGGCAGUCUGUGGGGUGGCUGGGGCAUGGCGGGUGCCUGCCCCAACUGGGGGGACAAGGCACCGCAGGGCAAGCUGCCCAUGGCCCUGGGGCUUUGGCCGCUGUGGGUUCAAGACGAGGACCAGCCUGACACUGGGAGUGCGGGCGCAGAAUUAGAGGCCGAGGCAGAAUUAGAGGCUGAGGCUGAGGGGGAGACAGAUGAGCCUCCAAAAUAAAGGACCCUGGGCUUGCUUCCGACCUUACUCCUUCUCAGCCUCUACCCCCACUUGUAGCAGUUGUUCCCGCCUCAUCAGCCAGCCCUGCGGCAGUUCCCGUCGAGCCCCGCCCAUUUCUACCUAUCCCCUUCUCCAGCCCCGUCCCGCCCAAUUCACGGCCCCACCCCUGACUUUUCUCGCCCGGGUGGGCAUCACCCCCGUCUCGCCAGCACCCCUUCGACUUCUCUGACCUCAUCUCCUUUCUCUAUAGCUCGGGUUCAUGACGCUCUCGAUAUUCCUGUGCAGAAACCUGGACCACGUCUACAACCGGCUCGCUCGAUACCGCUAGGCCCCGCCCUCCCCAAAGUCCCGCCCCGCCCCCGUCACGUGCGCUGGGCACUUCCCUGCUGCCUGUAAAUAUUUCUUUAAUCCCCAGUUCGCCUGGAGCCCUCCGCCUUCACAUUCCCCUGGGGACCCACGUGGCUGCCUGUCCCUGCUACUGUCACCUCUCCCACAGGACCUGGGGCUUUUGUCCACAGCUUCCUGUCCCCAUCUGUCGGCCUACCACCACCCACAAGAUUAUUUUUCACCCAAACCUCAAAUAAAUCCCCUGCGUUUUUGGUAAAA
rnacentral:sRNA from 1 species